rnacentral:rRNA from 1 species
UACGUAGGGUCCGAGCGUUGUCCGGAGUGACUGGGCGUAAAGCGCGCGCAGGCGGCCCGCGAGGUGUCCUGUGAAAGCCCCGUGCUCAACGCGGGAGGGUCAGGGCAAACCGGCGGGCUUGAGGCCGGUAGAGGUGGGUGGAACUCCUGGUGGAGUGGUGAAAUGCGUAGAGAUCAGGAAGAACACCCGUGGCGAAGGCGGCCCACUGGGCCGGUACUGACGCUGAGGCGCGAAGGCGUGGGGAGCGAACAGG